rnacentral:rRNA from 1 species
GGGUGCGAUCAUACCAGCACUAAUGCUCCGGAUCCCAUCAGAACUCCGAAGUUAAACGUGCUUGGGCGAGAGUAGUACUAAGAUGGGUGACCUCUUGGGAAGUCCUCGUGUUGCACCCC